rnacentral:lncRNA from 1 species
AUGCAACCAGCAGGUCUCUGGACACCUUACAUAAGAGUGGCCCCGUGUCUGGCAAGCCAGGGUGGUCCCCUGCGGCCUGGUCGCUGCAAGCCGCCCUCUCCUCCCUGCUCAGGGUUUUCAUCGGUCCCCAAGCAGCCCGGCAAGUUGCCAUCAACAGGUGGGCUGCUGCUCCCUUCUCUUCACCCCACAUCCUUUAGGAACAGGUGCAUGUUUUCCUCAGGAGGCAGGGCUGCCCAUGGGGGGGCAUAGCCAUCGCCCUGCCCCCCAGCAAAUGCUUCCUUUCAAGGGGCAUCCUGGGCGUUGGCCACGGUUUGCUGGGCAUCCCCGUGUGACACGGAGCCACUGGGGAGCUCAGGCCCCCGCCCCGGGCAAGCAGGGGGGGAAAUCCAGGUGGGCCUCCCUGCUCCUGUACCUUUAGUGAAUUGGAGGGAAAGAUCAUUCCUUAUUUUGAUUCCAGUGUGACAGCCCAUAAUUCGGGUUUAUAAUGGUUUUUCUCGGCACACCAUGACUUUUAUGAAGCUGGCCUCGUAUGCAACAGCAUCAGUCACUGUUCCCUAAGCUUGCCCGGACCUCAAAAUUACCUGGGACAACUAAAAAGAAAACCAAACCUGACUCCUAAGCCCCUCACAGAUGUAGGUGGGGCCUACGCAGAUCUCAUAUUGGGGAAAUUGAGGGAAGCGACCCUGGGGGCCGGCCCUUUGGUGAUUCCUAUCUUUGGAGGUUCAGGACACCCAGGUACGGGGAGUACUUGGUUCGA